rnacentral:rRNA from 1 species
ACAUGCAGUCGAGCGAGGUUUCGGACCUAGCGGCGGACGGGUGAGUAAUGCGUAGGNAGCUGCCCGAUAGAGGGGGAUACCAGUUGGAAACGACUGUUAAUACCGCAUAAUGUCUACGGACCAAAGUGUGGGACCUUCGGGCCACAUGCUAUCGGAUGCGCCUACGUGGGAUUAGCUAGUUGGUGGGGUAAUGGCUCACCAAGGCGACGAUCCCUAGCUGGUUUGAGAGGAUGAUCAGCCACACUGGGACUGAGACACGGCCCAGACUCCUACGGGAGGCAGCAGUGGGGAAUAUUGGACAAUGGGCGCA